CAGCAGCCGCGGGAAUACGGAGGGUGCAAGCGUUAAUCGGAAUUACUGGGCGUAAAGCGCACGCAGGCGGUUUGUUAAGUCAGAUGUGAAAUCCCCGGGCUCAACCUGGGAAUGGCAGUGGACACUGGCUCGCUAGAGUGUGUCAGAGGAUGGUGGAAUUCCCGGUGUAGCGGUGAAAUGCGUAGAGAUCGGGAGGAACAUCAGUGGCGAAGGCGGCCAUCUGGGACAACACUGACGCUGAGGCACGAAAGCGUGGGGAGCAAACAGGAUUAGAUACCCCCGUAGUCCCUGUCUCUUAUAA
rnacentral:rRNA from 1 species